CACGCUUGGUGUGGGAAGGUUCGACCCUUUCUGUGCCGGAGCUAACGCGUUAAGCGUGCCGCCUGGGGAGUACGGUCGCAAGAUUAAAACUCAAAGAAAUUGACGGGGACCCGCACAAGCGGUGGAGCAUGUGGCUUAAUUCGAUGCAACGCGAAGAACCUUACCUGGGCUUGACAUGGUAGUCGUAGACUUGUGAAAGCUUGUCGUCACUUCGGGUGGACUAUCACAGGUGCUGCAUGGCUGUCGUCAG
rnacentral:rRNA from 1 species